ensembl:lncRNA
CGUGCCCCCGGGCCGCGCUCUUCAUCCAGACGCACUCGCCCCACACGGCUGGAGGGCCCGAAUAAUUCCUGCCCCUGUAACCCCCCCCUUCCCCUUCCCCCGCCUCCCUCCUUGAUUAGGACUGAGAGACGCUGGCCUACUUAGCCGUAAUGAGCUGGCCGCGUGGGUGGUGAGCUAACGCGGCCGGACACGUGGGCAACUCAAUCGGGGUGGGGGGGGGAACCCCGGCGAACCUGAGUGGCGCUUGAUGGCGUAUGGAUGGGCUUUCAGCUAAUCCCCCUUUUGAGAGGUCUGACAGUGAGUGAAUGGGAGGAGAUUCGGGGCCCGGAGGCACAUCCAAGGGCAACAAGGAGGCUCCCAGAGGGGCUUUUGUGAUUAGCUCUGGACUCUGCUGCCCAUCGUGGUGUGAACGUGUCCAAUGCUGCCCCGGCAAUACACCGGUAAACACGUCACCGGUUCAUUUGACUGGAUAUCAAAAGUCUUUUUAGACACCUUUGUUCGUCUGCUGGAUGUCUAAUACACCACUUACUUUGAAUAUUUAGUGUCUGCGCAGGCUGUUAAGGAUUCUACAAAUAAAACUAAAUGAAUUCACUGUGUCCUCUGGUACACACCAAUGCACCUGAUCUUUCACGUAGAAAUGUGUUUACGGGCGCAGAGCUGUGGAGAGAUUUUAGAAUAUGUCAUUAAAAAGACCUGAAUGUCCGUGGCCCUGUGUGGUUGUAGUUAGUUUCAUUUCCUUUGAAGCCGCAUUGAAUGUUUGUGGCUGCCGCUCGCACUCACCAGCACUUGUUGAAUCCGAGCAAAGGCGCCGCCCAUUAGCGUUUUUGCGGCGGUAAUAAAACUCCUGUGCAUAAUGAAUCCCUCCGUGCUCUGAGCAAGUGUCAAGGCGCAAAGCAGAUGCAGGUUAAUUUAAAGUACGCUCCCAAAAAGAAGAGCGAGGUAAAGAUUGGUUCGUCUUUGCUUUAGAGCUGAUUGUAAACUUAAAUGAGUCAAGGUGAACGUUCGUCACUAUUCUCUGUAAAGAAUGAAAUAAAAGCUCUGCUCACAUCAUCGUCCCUGCAUCCAAUUAACGCCGUCACACCUCUGUAACGUUUCCUCUUUCCGUCCACCUAAUUUGUUCUGUCUACAGUCUAUUUAUGUUUGCAGCACGACUCCUCCUCUCUCCUUCUAACCGCGAUUCCGCCUCUUCGGGCGCUCGUGCAGGUUUUAUGUAAAUCGCCCGCUGAUGAAAAGAAUCUUUCCCUCUGAAAUGACAAAAACCGCCGUGAUAUCAUCCUUUUGUCUGUGGAUUUGCUUUAUUCUGAUCCUCCACGUCUUGACCCAAUCAAACCUCACGACUUCCUCGUUCGUUUUCGCGGGCCAAUGUUUCUUCCAGAGGUAAAGUAACAACAGCCUCUCCGGGCCGAAACUGUACAUGCUCGGCAAAAAAAUAAAAAUAAAAGUGCCGCGUCACCCCCGAGGCUCCUCUUUGUCAUUCUCUCCCUCCCUCUCUCUCUCUCUGAUGUACAACACAGACAACACCACACAUAAAGAACCCCUCUUAUCUUAUUUGAGCAGUUGCUUAAAGUAUUUCUACAAACUCCGAGGGGCUGGAAUUAUAAAUCACGGGCGAAACAAGAUGGCAAUCAGCGAGGAGCCGUCGCAGAGAAGACUAAUGAAACCACCCAGCCGGGUAAAUGACCUGGAGAUCUGGUGCGAUACCGACUCCCCACAGUCACCGGGACGUGAUACACUGGAUGUCUCUCUCUCUCUCUCUCUCUCUCUCCCCCCCUGUGAUGUGCCGAGGCCGCGAUAAGGCCACGAAGGCAAACCAACGGGGCUCCCAUCUGUUUGUUCCAUUACGGUGACGCGAGCUCAUUUCGGUGUUUUCCGGUGUUCCACCACAGAGGACAGGAGCCGCUCGCGCGUUGGUUUGGGAGCUGGCAUCCCCCCCCCACGGUAAUUCACGUUUAAAAGUAAAUACGCGCUACAACCUUUUUCUUUGGAAUAAAUCAGCGUGUUACUGGGGUUGCGCAGCGCUUCCGAAGGAACUCAAAUUGAUCAAAGGAGAGAGUUUGUUUGAAGAAUGAAGCGUUCAGCAUAUUUUAGGUUAACAAGAGACGGGUUUCCCUCCGCAGCAGUUGGCUAGCGUCACCC